CACAUCCUCUUCCACGCGGGAGUGGGACUCGCGCCUCCAGGGCUCAAUCUGAUUGAGCGGCUUGGAAUGGGACAGGGCUUGGUUCAGAUCCUAGCUCUGCAACCGACUAGCUAUUACACCUCAGGCGCGUUUCUCUGAGUUUCAGUUUCUUCAUGUGCUUAAGUGCAGCGUAAACGAGAUCCAGGAUAUAAAAUGCCAGCCUGUAGCAGCAGGCAGCAAAGAAGCUUCAUUCCUCCUCCACUCCCAUCUCCUCUGCAUCAAUAACUUCCCUUGUACCGCUCCGUGGUGCCCAGAUAGUGACUCACAGAGGCGAAGCUUUAUCAAGUGUUCCUUGAACAGAACUGAAUGACAUAAAGCAAGUACCCUAACCUGGUGUCCACAGACACCCCGCCAUGGACAGAACUUUGGGGGAGGUCCAUGAGCUUGAAUGGGAAAAACACUGCAUUUUUAAUUUACUAAUUAGAUUUUAAUUCACUAAUCUCAAACUGAAAAUUAGCAUGUCUUUCAAUUAUGAAUAUAUGAAUAAACCCCAGUAAUAUCCUUAAUGCCCCAGCCAUGUCCUGUGACUUUCCACAACAGAAAUCACAGGUCAUUUUAUAUCCUGUUAUCUCCAGGUAUUGCCAUGCUCGUCACUGCUUUGAAAUUAUGGUAGUAUUCAACCUGCCACUACAUCAUGCCAUUAGAUUCAACACAAAGAAGCACGUAUACGACUGCAUCUCAAAAGUUUAAAUAUUUUGGUAAUUACAUUUCAACAUUAUCAGUUUCUUUUGUAACUGUCUGCCUUUUAUUUAUGGAUUCAAAGUUGUUAUUCUGAGAAAGGGUCCCGGGACUUCAUUGUACUGCCAAAAGUCUUCUUGGCACAAAAAACAGUUAAUGAGUCCAACAGAAAGUUGCCCUGGUGCAGAAACCAUCUAGGUGUCCUCGGGCAAACCUGUGACCUUAACCAGACUCAGUUACCUCACCUUUAAAAUAGGGAUAAACACGUCCCACUUCACUUCGGUUGCAGUGGGAUCAUGCCUGUCAAGGAUUUGGCAUGGAGCCUGGGAUACAGUCGGUGCUCUAUAAAUAGUAGUUUCUCCCUCUGUCUCUUAGCCUCUGCCCCUCACCUGAGUGGGCACAGGAGGGAAGUCCUUUUGUGUGGUACAGACCAGAGAGACCCAUAGUGCUUGUUUCACACAUCAGUACACUCAGCUCAGCUGCGUUCUCUCCAUCACCCACACGGGGCUUGGUACCCAGCAGGUGUGCAUGUACUUGUGGGAGAAAUGAGUGAACAAAUGAAUAUGACUAUGGGUGGUCAAGUCAGCUUUGCGUCAGCCUGAGAUAACUGAGUAUUUCUACGGUCUGCGUCUGGUUAUGAGAGCCAGAAGCUGCUGCCAUCUCUGUGGCUUGGGGUGGUGAGGAGGUCCUGGCGGUGGAGCUGCAGAGGUGGGAGCACCUCGUGCCGAGCAGGUGCCUUACGCUCUCUGAGCACCGGGUCCUCAUCGGUUAAGUGGGCCUAACAACACUUUGCUUAGGAGAGAUUUGGGGAGCAUUACAUAUGAUAAUGUCUGUAAUGCUUCUUGUCUUCAGCCUGGCAUAGAGAAGCCACUAAGAAGUAUUUCAUUAAUGAAUGAACGAACAAGUGGAUGAGUAAUUGUUAACACCUGACUCCUUCUGGACUGUUGUCUCUCGCCCGGCAUUGUUACAUGAAUACAUGUACAUGCCCAGAGUAGAUUCAGAGAAAUGCCAGCACUCAGAUGACUCCAUCUUUCCUGAGCUGGUCAAAGUUUUCAGAGUGGUUUCCUGACCAGUACUAGGUAAAUGACUAAUGAGAAUAAAUCAGGGUCCAGGGGCUCAAAAUACUAAACAAGGCAGGAUGUCAACUGAACACACAGAGAAGGCUUUCCUAGCCAUGAGCUAAGGGAAAAGGGGACUUGAGGUCAGUCACUUCUCAGGCCCUCUGCUUCCUGGCCCCUGCCUACCUGUCUUGCUAUACUGCCAAGCAGAUCCAUCAUUCCAUCAGUACCAAGCCCCUUGCCCAUCCCCACGUCCCCUCCUGCAUGCCUUGGUGCACUCAGCCAUGCCCUUCCUUGCCUUCUCAGUUGACCUCAUUCCCAUCUGCCCUUUAAAACUGCCCAAGGGUCCCCUCUUGGAAACUGAGUUCUCCCCAUCUGUUCCAAAGACAGGCUGUGUUUUUCUCCGUCUCUGUGUCUGGUACCCAGGGUGGAGGCUGUACACUCCCACACCCGCCCCCCCCCACUCGACUGUGUAGUCCUGGCAAAGAAAGGACUCUGCCUGGUUAUCUCUGAACCCACCCCACAGCCUUGCUCAGCACAGCCUGAUGGUCAGGACUCUGGGGCAAAACUGGCCUGAGGGGAAACGUCCUAAAAAACAUGUAACCUAGGACACAGAACUCAUGCCGUCUGGUCCUCAGCUCCUUCACGGGCACAAUGAUGAGGGCCAGCCCAUGUUACAUGUGGCUGUGGAAGGGUUAAGUGAGGGAAUACGUGUAAAGUGCUUAGCUGACUGUCUGGGAUGCGGAUGUGAGAAGCUUUCAAUAAAUGCUGGCUGUCACCAUUAUCUCGGUAAAUAAUCCUCUUCCUACAGAAGCAGUAGAAAGCUAACGACAUGUGUGAAAAGGAGGGAUAAAAUUUCCUGAGCCACAAAAAAGUGUUUUUUUUUUUUUUUUUUAAUGAACUGAGAUGAGUUCUCAGGAUUUAUGUAUUAUUUUACAGUACUUCUUCUCAAUGCUAGUCUCAAACACUACCCACUGUCACAGAACUUGACCUGGGCAGGAGAUAAGUGUAUGAGAAGCUUAAUUUUAAACUAAGCAAGACAAAAGUAAAAAAAGUAAUGGCGGCCACUUUGUCCUGAUUUGAAAUCUCAGGACAACUGCUGACUAUCAGAUAAUGAAAGAACUCUCUUGGUUCUCUCUCUGUUGGGAUUUAGGAUUCGCUUGUUUGGCAUUUAAAUGUUUCCCUGCAACUUCUAACAGUCUGAAUUGCUUUGGCUAUGUUCACUUAAUACCCCACUGGUCACAGAGCUCGUUUUAUGAGAGGUGGAUUCUGACAGCAUUAGGAAUCCAGAUGUGUCGGGCACGAGUCAGGAACCUCGGCUCUGAAUUACGGCCAUUGAGCCUAAGAGGCUUAGCGGAAUUCUCUCUCCAGCAAAGUGGGUGAUCAGCUUACUUCUUAAUUGUGUUGCCUGAAAUCCAAGACCCCAAAGGAUAAUCAAACGCAAGGCAAAGUUCAUCCUUGAAACUCAAAACCCAUCUCUGCCCUUCUCCGUAUGGAUUUCUAGUGCAUGAUUCAGGCUGUGUGUCUGGAGGCUAUGCUGGGUCUCACAAGAAAAGCUCUCCUUGAAGCUGACAUCAGAUCCCCUUGGAAAGCCGGGGUCCCUGAUUUGUUAAGUGCAGACAAAUGACUUCCAAACACGAAUUGGGAAAACUGGAAAUAGAGACUAAGGAUGGCAAAAGUAAAGUCAAGGCUGUUCUUUCCCGGCAAAGUUGUUCAGCCCCUGCCCUGGGCUCCUGCCCCAGGGAACUCUAAGUUGUGUUAAGCUCCACGCAGUUCCCUGAUUUCCCAGCCUUGGCACAAGUGGUGACCUGUAUCUAGGAAAACCUUCAUCCCUUCUUUUAACCAAAAGACCGACUUUUUGUCUGAAACUUCGUCCAAAUAUCAGUUCCGAGGCACACUUCCACCCUUGGUCCAGUUAGAUAUCCAUUCACUGUGCUUUCUUUUUUUUUUUUUUGAGGUAUGCGGGUCUCUCACUGUUGUGGCCUCUCCCGUUGCAGAGCACAGGCUCCAGACGCGCAGGCUCAGCGGCCAUGGUUCACGGGCCCAGCCGCUCCGCGGCAUGUGGGAUAUCCCCGGACCGGGGCACGAACCCGUGUCCCCUGCAUCGGCAGGCGGACUCUCAACCACUGCGCCACCCGGGAAGCCCUCACUGUGCUUUCUUAAAGACUUUUCCCAACCAUGGCGCUUGGCCACCAUAAUGAAAUCUCUGACUUUCGAGGGACUCUCUCUCUCAUUUUGCCCCCAAUGGCAUGUCUGGAAUCGCACUUGAUUGACAUCACUUGGAGAGUGCUACUGGCUUCUAGUGGGUCCAGGCCAGGGAUGCUGCUAAACUUCCUACAAUGCACACAGGGUGGCCCCACAGCAAAAACUUAUCCCACCCAAAAAGUCAACGGAGCUGAGCAUAAGAAACCAAAAGCGUAAGCUAUCUGUUCAGAAACUGUACUUUGUCUAACGAGCCAGCAUCUAACACAGUGCUUGGCACAUAGUAAGCACUGAAAACACUGUUACGACGUUGGGUGAAAGAAGGAAGGAAUAAUAAUAUUUGACCUUCUGAUUAAGAAAAUGAACCCAACUUCAGCUGAGGGAGGAUGUGCUGUAGAGUGGAAAGAGUGUUGCCUUUGAGAGAAGAGAGCUGGGUUCAGAUCGCUGCCCUGCAGGUAGUAUUUUUUAACUUGGGUAAGGCGUUAACUCUUUCUGAUUCCGUUUUUUUUUUUUCACCUGUAAAAUAGAGCUAAUGUUAUGUAUUUAUUCCACAAAAAUGUGUUCUACAUCUUGAAAAUGCUAGGCUCUUAGUAACUUGCUAAGGUAAUAGUUGUGACUAAAACAGACGUGGUUUACAGCCUCCAGUGAGCUUACAAUAAGGUCAAGAAAUCACACACUAGGCAAACAGAUGUAUGUAUUGUUGGAAAUCUGACCAGUGUCGAUGAAGAAAAUGUUGCCUGUCAGAUCAGUAAACAAAGGAUGUUGCAGCCAUCAAGCCAUCACAUUACAGCUGCCCCGAAGGUGAACCCUGAGGGAGCUCAGGAUGGAAACACGAUGCCCCCCAAGGUGCACUCUGAGGGGCUUCAGGAUGAGAAAGUACCAGAUGCUGGCCCUAGAGAGCUGAGGUGCCUACCAGUGGAAUGAUUUCAGUGAGCCCAGACUUUGCAUCUUCCCAUACAUAGAAAAGCGCUAAACUCCUUAACCUGAGAUGCCAGGGUUUCUUUAAUGAACAGUAAACUUUCGAUGUUCUGACCACCCGGUCUUUAUGGCAGAAACUCCUGUAUAUCCUGGAUGCUCUUUGGAAUGGUCCCGCAGAGCGAUCUGAGAGGCUGCAUCCGGGGCUUAAGUCCUCAGAAAGUCUGCCGAAUAAAAAGUAAUUCUCAACUUCUAGGUUGUGCAUUUUUUUUCAGUCAACACCAGGAAACAAACAGAGCGCAGUAACAGAGAAUAUCAUGCGGUCACCUUAGGUAGGGUGGUCAGGGAAGGCCUCGGGUGGAUGGGAAGAACAAUCAGAGAACCAGUUUCAGUGGUUCAGGUUCAAGAUAAUGGUGGCUCCAGACAUGGAAGCUGAGACUGGAAGAGUAAGAAGCAGCAAGGCUUCAAAGAAAAGGAGUGAGACCUCUCCAGGCAGAAGACUCGCACGUGGGUGCAAAGGGUGUGAGGGCUGGUUUAUGCCACUGAAGGGAGCGCACGUGACCAAAAAUACGUGAAUGGGGGACAAAGGGCAAGAUGGGAUCAGAGGCCAGGUCGGUCAGGGAUUUUUAGAAAUAGAAUUCAAAAAUAGGAAGAGGAAAAUAGGAAUUUCUAUUUUAUUCUAGGUCUACCUGCAGACACCCAAAGAGUUCUAAGAAGGAAAGAGGAUAUCAACUUCGCUUUUAAAGAGAAUUCACAUGUUCAUAGCAGCACUGUUCACAAUAGCCAAAAGGCGGAAACCACCCAAAUGUCCGUGGAUGGAAGAAUGAAUGAAUAAACAAAACGCAGUAUAAACAUACGACGGAGCCUUAAAAAGGAAGGAAAUUCUGCCACGUGCUACAACAUGGAUGAACCUUGAGGAUAUUAUGCUCAGUGAAGUAAGCCAGUCGCCAAAAGACAAAUGCUGUAUGAUUACACUCAUAUGAGGUGUCUAAAGCAGUCAAACCUGCAGAAGCAGGAAGCUGAAUGGUGGUUUUCAGGGGCUGGAGGGAGGAGGAAACGGGGAGCUGGUGUAUAAUGGGCGCAGUUUCAGUUUUAUAAGACAAAGAAGUUCAGGAGAUUGGUUGCACAACAAUAUGAAUAUAUUUAACGGUACUGAAAUGUACAUUUAAAAAUGGUUAAGACAGUAAAUUUUAUGUGUAUGUUACCACAAUAAAAACAUUUUUUUAAAAAAGGGAACACCGGGCUUCCCUGGUGGCGCAGUGGUUGGGAGUCCGCCUGCCGAUGCAGGGGACACGGGUUCGUGCCCUGGUCCGGGAAGAUCCCACAUGCCGCGGAGCGGCUGGGCCCGUGAGCCAUGGCCGCUGAGCCUGCGCGUCCGGAGCCUGUGCUCUGCAACGGGAGAGGCCACAGCAGUGAGAGGCCUGCGUACCGCAAAAAAAAAAAAAAAAAAAGCAACAACAAAGGUUACACCGUGGCUGCUCCAUGGAGAAUGGAUUGGAGGAAAGCAAGGAAAAAACGAAAGACCAAAGAAGAUGCCACUGAAGUUUCCUAAGCUGGUGGCUUGGACUUGGGUGACUGCAGUGGGAAGGAGGAGACCAGCACUUGGACAUUGAUUCUGGAGAAGAACCACAACAGUCUUCCUUGAUGGAUUCUGUGUGGCCACGAGGGCAAGAGGCAGGUAAGGCACCACUCCUGGGUUUCUGGCUACACAAAUGGGUGGGUGGGGACACGAUUUUUCUUUUUACAGUGAUGCCAUUUUGUUUUCAGUUGAGCAAAAGGAGCAAAACAGGUUUGGAGAAGAAAUCAGAAGUUGAGUUUGGCGGUCCCUUGUCUUCACACACAUACACACUUGAUACAAGACUGUGGUGUGAAGCGGAUCUUAGUAGAUGGAUACAGAAUAAGAUGAGACAGUGGGGAGGAGGUGUCAGUGAAGCUGUGAUAUCAGAGAGAAGUUGGAAGGGAGACAACCCAAUAGGUUUGCAAAGUUAGCUCUGCUGAGCUCAAGGAUCUGUUUGUUUCCUCUGAUCCAGCAUGUCUGGAGAUCUAUGAGCACGAUUCCAGAACACUUGCAGCUGGUGCUCCGAGGACACGUAGACUCAUACACUGAUGGAAGAGUGAGAAACUACAUAUUUUUCUGUGUUGGUUUCCUGAAAGGAUUAUUUUCCCCAUGUUUCCAAAUCUCGUGGAUGAGUAACACACCAAAUGAGCAGAACUAAUCUCUAGUGAGCGUUUACUUCUGCCGGACCACAGGCGUCAUUCCAAGCAGCCUAUGAGGUUAGGACUAUUAUUGUCCCCUUCCACGUAUGAGGACGUGAGGACACAGAGAGGUUGCAAAGUUGCUCAAGAUCACACAGCUCAUAAGCAGAGCGGCCAGGUUUUGAAGUCUGAUAGUCUGACUCUGGAGUCUGUCUCAGCCGGAGAGGCAAGGAGGGUCUGUCACAGGAGGUGACGUUUGGCAGUGUCUCAGAUGAAGUGAAGGAGCCAGCGGAACAAAGAGGUAAGAGUUCCUGGCCGAGAGAGAACACGUGCCAGGAUCGAGAGUCUGCGAGAUGAACUGACCUCACUCUUCUCCUGGAGGACGAGGACGGCAUGACGACCACCUGUGCUGUGGUGGGACUCAGCCUGCAUGGCCUGAUGCAGUCAGACAGACCUAUAUCUGAAAUCCUCAUCUUGGCUAUUUCUGUCCUUGGCUUACAUGUAAGUUACAUACACGCUUGAGCUCAAUUUCCUCCUAAGGAAUAUGAUUGUACAAUAUCUCCUUCAUUAAAUCAUUUAUUUAUACAUUCAGCAAA